rnacentral:tRNA from 1 species
GGGGUUGUGGCUCAGUGGCAAAGUACUCACCUAGCAUGUGCGAGGCCCUGGGUUUGAUCCUCAGUACCACA